rnacentral:rRNA from 1 species
UACGGGGGGAGCAAGCGUUGUUCGGAUUUACUGGGCGUAAAGGGCGCGUAGGCGGUCAGCACAAGUCAGUUGUGAAAUCUCCGGGCUUAACUCAGAAAGGUCAACUGAUACUGUGCGACUAGAGUGCGGAAGGGGCAACUGGAAUUCUCGGUGUAGCGGUGAAAUGCGUAGAUAUCGAGAGGAACACCUGCGGCGAAGGCGGGUUGCGGGGCCGACACUGACGCUGAUGCGCGAAAGCCAGGGGAGCGAACGGG